UACAGAGGGGCAAGCGUUGUUCGGAAUUACUGGGCGUAAAGGGCGCGUAGGCGGCCUGUUAAGUCGAACGUGAAAUCCCCGGGCUCAACCCGGGAACUGCGUCCGAUACUGGCAGGCUUGAAUCCGGGAGAGGGAUGCGGAAUUCCACGUGUAGCAGUGAAAUGCGUAGAGAUGUGGAGGAACACCGAUGGCGAAGGCAGCCCCCUGGCUAACACUGACGCUCGAGGCACGAAAGCGUGGGAGCAAACAGG
rnacentral:rRNA from 1 species